rnacentral:misc_RNA from 1 species
ACUAUUGUAGUUUGAGUGUGU